rnacentral:rRNA from 1 species
GAACCUGGCUCAGGAUGAACGCUAGCGACAGGCUUAACACAUGCAAGUCGAGGGGCAUCAUGAGGUAGCAAUACCUUGAUGGCGAUCGGCGCACGGGUGAGUAACGCGUAUGCAACCUGCCCGAUACCGGGGUAUAGCCCAUGGAAACGUGGAUUAACACCCCAUAGUACUUUUAUCCUGCCUGGGAUGGGAGUUAAAUGUUCAAGGUAUCGGAUGGGCAUGCGUCCUAUUAGUUAGUUGGCGGGG